UUUUAAGUCCAAUCUGCCCAAUGAAAUUUUAAUGGCUGGAAUAAAUAACUGUACUAAGGUAGCAUAAUAAAUUGUUUUUUAAUUAAAAACUUGAAUGAAAGAUUUAAUGAAAUAUAUACUUUUUUAUUUUUAAAUAUUAAAAUUUUUAUUUAAGUAAAAAAACUUAAAUAAAAAUAAAAGACAAUAAGACCCUAUAAAAUUUUAUUUUACUUAAUUAAAUAUAAUUUUAAUUAAAUAUAAUUUAAUUGGGGUAAUUAAAAAAUUAAAUAAACUUUUUUAAAAAAUACAAAAAUAUUUGAUAAAAAUAACUUUUACUUUAAAAAUUAAAAUUAAUUACUUUAGGGAUAACAGCAUAA
rnacentral:rRNA from 1 species